UAGGGAAUCUUCGGCAAUGGGGGCAACCCUGACCGAGCAACGCCGCGUGAGUGAAGAAGGUUUUCGGAUCGUAAAGCUCUGUUGUAAGAGAAGAACGUGUGUGAGAGUGGAAAGUUCACACAGUGACGGUAACUUACCAGAAAGGGACGGCUAACUACGUGCCAGCAGCCGCGGUAAUACGUAGGUCCCGAGCGUUGUCCGGAUUUAUUGGGCGUAAAGCGAGCGCAGGCGGUUUAAUAAGUCUGAAGUUAAAGGCAGUGGCUUAACCAUUGUUCGCUUUGGAAACUGUUAAACUUGAGUGCAGAAGGGGAGAGUGGAAUUCCAUGUGUAGCGGUGAAAUGCGUAGAUAUAUGGAGGAACACCGGUGGCGAAAGCGGCUCUCUGGUCUGUAACUGACGCUGAGGCUCGAAAGCGUGGGGAGCAA
rnacentral:rRNA from 1 species